rnacentral:misc_RNA from 1 species
GUCUUAUUGAAUAUGAUUUUAAGUCUAAUCUGCCCAAUGAUAAAUUAAAUGGCUGCAGUAUUUUGACUGUACAAAGGUAGCAUAAUAAUUAGUUUCUUAAUUAGGAACUGGAAUGAAUGAUUGGACGAGAUAGUAACUGUCUUAAUUUAAAUUUUAGAAUUUUAUUUUUAAGUUAAAAAGCUUAAAUUUUUUUAAAAGACGAGAAGACCCUAUAGAAUUUUAUAUGAACUUAAUAUUUUAUUAUUAGGAAUUGAGUAAAGAAUUUUUAAGUAAAUAUUUAAUUGGGGUGAUUGAAAAAUUUAAUAAACUUUUUUUUUAUAAAAACAUUAAUAUAUGGCUUUAUGAUCCAAUUAUUUUGAUUAUAAGAUUAAAUUACCUUAGGGAUAACAGCUGUAAUUUUUUUAGAGAGUUCCAAUCGAUAAAAGAGAAAGUGAAUUAAAGUUAAUUUUUAAUGUAGAAGUUAAAAUAUUGGGUCUGUUCGACCCUUGAAAUUUUACAUGAUCUGAGUUUAAACCGGUGUGAGCCAGGUUGGAUUCUAUCUUUAAUAAAAUUAAAUGUUUUAGUACGAAAGGACCAAGUAUUUAUUAUAAUAAUUUAGUUUAGAAUAAUAAUAUUAUUUUGGCAGAUUAGUGCUUUAAAUUUAGAAUUUAAAUAUGUGAGGGAUUACAAAUAAUAC